GACGAACGCUGGCGGCGUGCUUAACACAUGCAAGUCGAACGGAAAGGCCCUGCUUUUGUGGGGUGCUCGAGUGGCGAACGGGUGAGUAACACGUGAGUAACCUGCCCUUGACUUUGGGAUAACUUCAGGAAACUGGGGCUAAUACCGGAUAGGAGCUCCUGCUGCAUGGUGGGGGUUGGAAAGUUUCGGCGGUUGGGGAUGGACUCGCGGCUUAUCAGCUUGUUGGUGGGGUAGUGGCUUACCAAGGCUUUGACGGGUAGCCGGCCUGAGCGGGUGACCGGCCACAUUGGGACUGAGAUAAGGCCCAGACUCCUACGGGAGGCAGCAGUGGGGAAUGUUGCACAAUGGGCUGAAGCCUGAUGCAGCAACGCCGCGUGCGGGAUGACGGCCUUCGGGUUGUAAACCGCUUUCGCCUGUGACGAAGCGUGAGUGACGGUAAUGGGUAAAGAAGCACCGGCUAACUACGUG
rnacentral:rRNA from 1 species